GGAGUUGUAGCUCAGUGGUAGAGUGCUUACUUAGCAUUUGUAAGGAACUUGGUUCAAUCCUCAACACCA
rfam:Ictidomys tridecemlineatus contig055437, whole genome shotgun sequence.